CAUGGCUCUGUCUUCUGCCUCAGA
rnacentral:miRNA from 1 species